rnacentral:sRNA from 12 species
GACUUGGCUUCCGAACUGACGCCUUGUAGGUGUGCGUUUCUAGACUUGCUCUAGAAUAGGGGCUAGGUCGCUU